UACGUAGGGGGCAAGCGUUGUUCGGAAUUACUGGGCGUAAAGGGCCUGUAGGCGGCAUGGCAAGUCAGGCGUGAAAGGCCUGGGCUCAACCGAGGAACUGCGUGUGAUACUGCCAAGCUAGAGUGCGGAAGGGGCAACUGGAAUUCCCAGUGUAGCGGUGAAAUGCGUAGAUAUUGGGAAGAACACCUGAGGCGAAGGCGGGUUGCUGGGCCGACACUGACGCUGAGGCGCGAAAGCCUGGGGAGCAAACAGG
rnacentral:rRNA from 1 species